AUUUAUAAAGCAGUAGUAAAGAAGACAAAGCCAUCAAUCCUGUAUAUGUUUAAUUCUUCUUUUUCUUUUUUUUCUUUUUCUU
rnacentral:ribozyme from 14 species